UUCAUAAUGUCAAACCCAACUCCCAUCUCUCACCAAAAGACCCCAAGAACACUUUGCACAUAAAACUCUUUUUCUUUGAAAUCUAUAAAGGAUUUUCUUAACUUCUAAACAAAUCUUAGCUCUAAACAACUUUGCUAGCCCCUUUUUUUUUAUUCUUUUCUUCUUUCUUUUUCUCUUUUUUUUUCUUUUUUUUUUAUUUUGUUUUUGUUUGGGGGCCAAGACUUUUCACAAAUCGAGCUAGAAGU
rnacentral:lncRNA from 1 species